CCAAUAGCGUAUAUUAAAGUUGUUGCAGUUAAAAAGCUCGUAGUUGAAAUUCGAAAUUUGUCCUAUGGUCGGGCUUUACGGUCCGUACAGUAGUGGCGAAUUUCUACCUUCUGAAGAACCUUUAUGUCAUUAAUUUGGUGUGUUGGGAAAUCAGGACUGUUACUUUGAAAAAAUUAGAGUGUUUAAAGCAGGCUUAAGUCUGAAUACAUUAGCAUGGAAUAAUGAAAUAGGACGGAUUGGUUCUAUUUUGUUGGUUUCUAGGAUCACCGUAAUGAUUAAUAGGGAUGGUUGGGGGCAUUAGUAUUCAAUUUUCAGAGGUGAAAUUCUUGGAUUUAUUGAAGACUAACUUCUGCGAAAGCAUUUGCCAAGGAUGUUUUCAUUAAUCAAGAACGAAAGUUAGGGGAUCGAAGACGAUCAGAUACCGUCGUAGUCUUAACCAUAAACUAUGCCGACUAGGGAUCGGACGAAGUUAAUUUUUAGAUGACUCGUUCGGCGCCUUACG
rnacentral:rRNA from 1 species